GGAUGCCCGGAAGUAUGAGACAUCGGACGAUGACCGCCGCCUCACGACGCGCAUUGAGACACUCAAGGAGCAGUUCCGGGAGCUGCUGGUAGAGAUGCGGAAAGGAGGAUGAUGAGGACUACGAGAUUCCCCGGCGUCCCUUUCGGCGGCGGGCGAUGUCCGUCUCCUCCCGCCUGUCCACAUCCUCCGUGUCGUCCAUCGUCCGUCCGCUCCCAGCCGCGACACCCCUCAUCACGCCGGACUACAGCCCCGACUCACCUCUCAUCUCAGACAAACAGGUGCCUUACACAAGCUAACCGAAUGAGCGAAAGUUCCAUACGAUCCCUUAUUGGAGCCGGCGGCCAUCUGGAAAUGGGCGUCAUAACAUUGAAAAUAUAGAGAUUCUAGAAUACCAGUAAUCC